rnacentral:lncRNA from 1 species
ACCUUUAUAAAAUAUUCAUAUUUAAAUCUACAAAAUCGUUACAAGCAACUCCAAAACUUUCAAAUAACUUCAUAGUUUGUCAGAUAAUCGGCAAGUCAGUAUAUCAAUAAGCGUUAAUGCGUUUAUGGUUAAAAAUCAUCAAGGAGCUAACUCCAUUCCCAUAUUAAAACUUCACAUCAUUCUUGCCAAUCCAUCAAACAAAUUCAUAUUCAAAACAAAAUGUAAAAAAUAAAAAAUAAAAACUAAAUACCAAUAUAUCAUAAUGUUUACCGCAAGAACAACCGAGGCAUACAAAAUCACCUAAAACCCCUAACCCUUAAAACAAUCUGCUACACAAAAAACAAGUGCAACAGAUCAUUACAAAAGUUACAGAUCCAUAAACCAGUGAAGUCACCUCGAUAAUAUCAUUCUUACAGUAGACGGAAGCUUCUCAAAAGGAUAACCCUAACGAGAAACCCCAAAAAUUGUUUAAUAUAGCGCGGCUAUGACUCAAAACGCUUCCAUUUCAACAAUUGGAAGGCGAUCUUAAGGGCUGCGCGUUAAGAGAUUAAAAGAACAACAAAAUUGAAACGGAAUUAAGAUGAAAUUGAUGGGUUUUGGUGGGUUGAAACCCUACGAUUGGUUGAACAGGUUGAAAUUUAGAACAACACCGAAGUGGAAUCUAUGGAUUCAGGUGGAUGGUAACCCUAAUUUUGAGAUGACAAGGGGGA